rnacentral:SRP_RNA from 1 species
GCCGGGCAUGGUGGCGCAUGCCUGUAACCUCAGCUACUAGGGGGCUGAGGCAGGAGGAUAGCUUGAACCUGGGAGGCAGAGGUUGCAGUGAGCCGAGAUCGUGCCAUUGCACUCCCAUCUGGGCAACAGAGCGAGACUCUGUCUCAA